GUUUUAGUUUAAAUGUUGCGGUUAGUUUAAAUGUUUAAAGAGUUUGUUUGGAUGAGAGCAGACAGGGCUAGCCCUCUUAUCAUACAGUUCACACGGUUGGUAAGGAUAGAUUCAAUGAUGAUCCUUCCGCAGGUUCACCUACGGAAA
rnacentral:misc_RNA from 1 species